AUUGAACGCUGGCGGCAGGCUUAACACAUGCAAGUCGAGCGAGCGGCGGACGGGUGAGUAAUGUAUGGGAAACUGCCCGAUAGAGGGGGAUAACUACUGGAAACGGUGGCUAAUACCGCAUCCCAUCGGAUGUGCCCAGAUGGGAUUAGCUAGUAGGUGGGGUAAAGGCUCACCUAGGCGACGAUCCCUAGCUGGUCUGAGAGGAUGACAAGCCACACUGGAACGGAGACACGGCCCAGACUACUACGGGAGGCAGCAGUGGGGAAUAUUGCACAAUGGGCGCAAGCCUGAUGCAGCCAUGCCGCGUGUGUGAAGAAGGCCUUCGGGUUGUAAAGCACUUUCAGCGGGGAGGCGUUACCCGCAGAAGAAGCACCGGCUAACUCCGUGCCAGCAGCCGCGGUAAUAC
rnacentral:rRNA from 1 species